rnacentral:rRNA from 1 species
AGUGAACGCUGGCGGUAGGCCUAACACAUGCAAGUCGAACGGCAGCACAGUAAGAGCUUGCUCUUACGGGUGGCGAGUGGCGGACGGGUGAGGAAUACAUCGGAAUCUACUUUUUCGUGGGGGAUAACGUAGGGAAACUUACGCUAAUACCGCAUACGACCUACGGGUGAAAGCAGGGGAUCUUCGGACCUUGCGCGAUUGAAUGAGCCGAUGUCGGAUUAGCUAGUUGGCGGGGUAAAGGCCCACCAAGGCGACGAUCCGUAGCUGGUCUGAGAGGAUGAUCCGCCACACUGGAACUGAGACACGGUCCAGACUCCUACGGGAGGCAGCAGUGGGGAAUAUUGGACAGUGGGCGCAAGCCUGAUCCAGCCAUACCGCGUGGGUGAAGAAGGCCUUCGGGUUGUAAAGCCCUUUUGUUGGGAAAGAAAAGCAGCAGGUUAAUACCCCGCUGUUCUGACGGUACCCAAAGAAUAAGCACCGGCUAACUUCGU